CGCCAGCGAGGAGAGCAGGCGUCCCGCCUUACCCCGUCUGGCCCCACAGCCAGCAGUGGCGGACCCACUGGGGCUGGCUGGGAAAGAGGGUGAGAACUGGCUCCCUAAGGCACUGUCUGAGGUUA